ACGUCCUGCCUCGGGAUGCAGGAGAAUGUGCCAUCUGCCUGGAGGAGCUGCAACAGGGAGACACCAUCGCUCGCCUGCCCUGCCUCUGCAUCUACCAUAAAGGCUGUAUCGACGAGUGGUUUGAGGUGAACAGGUCCUGUCCUGAGCAUCCAUCGGAUUAAAGCUUUUUCAUUGCACAGGUACAUGAGCAGUCCCACAGAGGGAUCUGCAAAAAUGAAAUCCCUGGAUUCAGGGACUCUGCUGGACUCUAUGACCACUGUGAUCGGUUAACACCCUUCCUCCCACAACCCACCCACCCAAUAAUGUAGUACCACAGUGUGCCAAAUCUCAUUUAAGCAAUCUUCAGGGAUACAAACUUGUGUUUUAUGUUUAAGUUGCACAUCUACACUCAGCGUCAGAGUUGACAGACUCCUCCAUCUCCACAUCGGACCCUUUCCAGCCCUGACAGUCGGGGCAUGACGGCAGGCAGGGCUCUACUUCCUGACAGGGACGUGUCAGCAGUUUGUACACCAGUAUGGAGGAGGAGGAGGAGGGGAGUUGGAGGGAGACUGUUGGCUGACGCGCUCCGACUCGCCCCCUCCCCUCCUCCGUCACCAUCAGUGUCUCCCAGUGCCUUGUUGUAGCGACGCUCGGCACGCAGCAGGCAGGACAGAGGGGAGUCCAUACUACGGCCGAGCUGGCUGUCCUCCACCCAACGCCCUACAACCCCCACCACCACCAGGACCAUCUUACCACAACUGCCAUUCUACCCGAGCAGGAGAAACAAGCCAGAGACGGCGUGUCUGCGUCUGCAGCUUCUCGCAGCUGACAAUGCUGCUGCAAAAACGGUGCCAAUCAACUGUGAAUACUGUCUAAGACUCAGUCAUCAGUGCUUUUUAGACCCCGCCCACACAGUGAAGGUCUUCAGGUACAGGAGCCCAGUCCAUCUCUCACCAGCCUGAACCCACUGCAGCACAUUGCUGCUACUUCUCUAACACGAUAAUUGUUCUGUUUGCCAGAAUAAUGUGACGCACAACAGCAUGUGGAAAAAUGAGACUAAAUUAAUAAUCCAGCCAUCCUGUUUUUUAACUGCUUAUCCGACUUCAGCCGCGUCCACACAGGGAGCAGUUAUUCCCCGUCUGAGUCUCUUCUUUCCCUCAAGUUAGCCCACUUUCCUGGCUGGAAAAGGCUACAGCCCGACUUUUGGAUAUGUGGUUAAGAAAAUGGAUGGAUGGAUAUUUUAACCCUCUGCUAGUAAAGACUUUAACUCAGCGUCACGUUCAUAGACCAGACCCGUCUUCAUCAGAACCUGAAAUACUUUGUCCCCACCAGCAGAUGUCAGUCUGUAGCACCAGGAUCUUGAGGUAUAACAUCCAGGCUGCCGUACAUGUGGCUGCAAACGGCUCCAGUGCAUGCUGCAGAACCCGCAUGAACCUGCAGGAUCGCUUAUUCAACACCAGGGUAAAAAGCGUGUGAACAGAAUAUGUCAUGACAUAAAUAAUGUCUCGUUCCAUCAUGGACGGGAUCUGGUAACGAGGCAAUGUGGGAAAACCUUUGAAGACCUUCAGUUAAGUUCUUAGCUUUGUGUUCCUUCCUGUAAGAAUUAGCUUCAGUUUUUUGAUCACAUCCGUCAGCUCUGUGUUCAUUUCUGCAUCAUAACCGUAGCAGCUGCAGGUAAACCGAGCCGCUCCGAGUACAGUGUUAUGUCUUUGUUGUUUGGGACACCAGACUGAGACAGUUUACUUGUGUGGAGCUGCAGGACUAUAAAGGUACCAGGAAAACACUGUGAGCUCUGUGAGGUUUUUCCAGGCACUGACCGCUCACACUGGGAGUCAGCAACUUGAUCUCGAUCCUGGCAAAUGCAGCAGUCCAGGUGCUGAGGCUGAGGAAACUUAAACUAAACAGAACUGGAGGGACUAACUGGACCUGUCUGUUUGGGGUUAGGUGUGCCUGAAGACCUCACUGAGGAACAGUGUGGCCAGACUUUCAGUUUAAGAAAAACAAAACAAAAAAACUCCUUGAUACUGAUUUCACCAACAAGCUCACAUUCAGCCUUAGAGGACGAGCUAAGCUCAAACCCAUCUACUGAUCCAGGGCUUGUGUGGAUCCCAAAGCUCCAAAACAUCUGAAACUUGUCAUCCUUUUCCUGCAGUCUCUUUUGCCUGUGACUCCAAGACUAAAUCCGCCCCUUCCUAAUUGCCCAACCAGUUGGCGAGCGUUUGCUGGGGGUUGCAAAGAGGAUGCUACACCAAAAACCUCCUUCCGGUUGCUUUGGUUGCGAGCGGAUUGCCCUGGUCACCUUUAGAUGAUCGGUGAGUCGUUAGUGACUGUCUGAAGACAGGUCAGCAAACUCCAUACAAACUAUGAGUGACCACAGCAGUCUGUUAGUGACCAAGGCAGCAGCCUGUACCUCUCUGUGACCACUGACUACCACUACCACUCACCCACCAAUCAGAGAACACACGUUUGCCACCAGGCAGCCACACAGUGAUCUCCAGGCUUCUCAUCUUGUAAUUAUCAUCAUUAAAUGAACAAUAUGCAGUUUAUUAUUCAGUUUAUGCUUGAAAUCAUGCAGAAGCUGCAUCAUGUUAGGGAGGUGGAAACAAUGGCUACAAACCAGUUUUUUAAGAUUUGUCAUUUUGGUAAUUGAACUUAUUUACAUAGUAAAGUGUUUGAAAUCAAACAUUAAUAUAUUGUUUUAAAUAUGAGAAUAAUGGAAACGUCUGUGUUUAGAUGUGUGCCUUCUAGUUUGUAGAGACAUGAUCCUUUUUUUGUUUUGCAGUUUCUGUAGUUACUGCUCUCCACCACUGGGAGGCAGUGCACUCUCACUUAUGAUCUUGAUGUGCUUGACGUUAUUUUUGAGAUCUUUAUCGUGAAAGCAGGACAGGAAAGGUUCCUGUGUGGCCUCAGUAAUCCCAGGGACUGUGAGAGAAUGAUUGUGGUGCAGAGGGAGGAAAAAUCUUUUGUUUUUCUUAUUAAUAGAAUAACCUUGGUAAAUGUUUUAUUAUUGGUUUCCUACACAUUCCUCAGACGCCGACUGAUUUUAGGUGUGCGAAGUCAACAUUCAUUUUGUGCUUAUAUAAAUAUGUAAAAAGAAUCACAGGCAGCAGUUUGUUUAGUUUUUCUAUCUCCCAAAAAUGAUUUAAUGGCUGAAAAGAUUUUCUAAUGAUGUUUUUUAUUAUCAUGAUAAGUUUGCUUUUUAUUGUGACUCUUGCUGCGUUUACCGUGUCUUCCAUGACGUGUGUGUGUGUGUGUGUGUGUGUUGGGGGGGUUGUUAUGUAAAAGUAUGACGUUUUUUAAGGUGAAACACUGGACUCUGUGAAAUGUAAACUUUUUACGUCAUUAAAAGUUUUCAUGAGCAAAUGACAGAACUGCAGAACACGUCGACCCCUGUAGCCCCUCCUCUCACUAACCAUUUUCACACAGUCCCUUACUGAACACAGACUGCGUGUUUGAGCCGAUCUCUCGUGAGUCAGCUGGGAGUCCUGCUGAUAUACGAGCUGCUUUACUGUCGUUGUUGAAUGUAUUGAAACCUGUGUGGUUCUCUGGUGGGCGUUGGUGUAACCUGGAAUGCAAACGGAUCAAAAUUUGGAGUUUUGGGAUCCACCCCCGCACAUUCAUGACUACUGAAUCAUCACACUGUAUUCUGGAAAUCAGACGGCCACACAGAGAUUAACCGAGCCCGGUGACGCGCUCCCGUCGCACAGUGGGCCUGCGGUUCCACGCAGUGCGUGGAGGCGGGAUCGGUCGUAGCGACAGAGCGACCACGUGGCUGCUUGAUGGACAUCUCACAGGGCUUUGACUGUACCGUCAUCUCUCACUCUGAUCUGAAUACUGCAAGACAUUACAACCACUUUUUCCUAACUGAUCAUGCAGCUGAUUCCUGUGAGCAGGUCUGACUGUCUUUUCAUUUCUGUCUGUGAAUUUAUGAGGAAAUGUGCAACAGAUCUGGCCUUAAUAGAUGACUCUGACAUUUCACUCUCCUGUCCGUGUGGGUUUUUGUAUUUCCAUCGUUUCACAAUAACACAGACACCUCUAAUACCGCUGUGGCUCUGACACCACGCUGGAUCCUUGAACUUGAAAAGGUUUACGGGGAAGGCUGGUGUUAAAUGAGAGCAUCUUACGAGUGGAGUUUUAGAAAAGCUUCAAUUAUAGUUGCAACUUAGACUCUGUAGUAAAACAUUUCCAGAGCUUUCUGCCACGUGGCGUGGUCUUCCUCAGGAGAUGACGUUGUCUGUGAGCUCAGUAUGGAACUUGGGUAAUAUCAGUACAGACUGAAGGCAAAGUUCCAAAAACUACAGUUUCUGUAAAUGUCACUUGAGGCUUGUUCCCGUUCAGACCCCCGUGUAAACAUGUCCCGCUCUGCUGCAGUAGCACAUCUUUACAGCCUGGUACAGAAGCAAGUUGAGGAAAGUUCUCAGGAGUCAGCAGCUGUCAUUUCACCCGUCGUCACUCGAAAUCACCCAGUGUCAGUGACCUUUCAUCCUCUGAUGGCCCUUUAAGCUUGAUUCAGACUUCUGCGGCUGAGCUACGUCCUAGCUGACACUGUAACCACAAACUGUUUUCUGACAUUUUACAGCUUUCCAAGUGAGAAAGACCUCCUCCACAGAUAAACAAUUAAAUGAUAGAAAAGUUAAUUUUUUUUUAUAAUGGGUCCACAAUAAAGGUCGUAUAGAUAAACUGA